rnacentral:pre_miRNA from 1 species
AGCUUAUCGAAUCCGUGCUGAGAUUUCGUCAGACACCAACCCAUUAGGGCUGAUCGAACUUCCAAGUUAAGUGAAGUU